UGGUGGAGUGAUUUGUCUGGUUAAUUCCGUUAACGAACGAGACCUUAGCCUACUAACUAGUCGAUUCAAUCCCGAUUGACUUCGACUUCUUAGAGGGACUUUGUGGUCACAAACACAAGGAAGUUUGAGGCAAUAACA
rnacentral:rRNA from 1 species